rnacentral:rRNA from 1 species
CCCCGGGACUGCAUUGGAAACUGUUCAUCUAGAGUGCCGGAGAGGUAAGUGGAAUUCCUAGUGUAGCGGUGAAAUGCGUAGAUAUUAGGAGGAACACCAGUGGCGAAGGCGGCUUACUGGACAGUAACUGACGUUGAGGCUCGAAAGCGUGGGGAGCAAACAGG